CCGAUCUACUAAACCCCCCCGACUCCUUAUCAUACUGCCUGUGGGGAACAAUAGAAUGGCUCAGUCUUAAUCACCCAGCUGGACUCAAUGACUAAUGAAAGUCUAUGGAGGAACGGACUUCAUUAGCAUCGCCAUAAAGCAUCAGCUCAGUGUGGUGUUUGAGCCGGGAAAGUCACCCAAAAUAUCACAUGACUGACAGCACCGGCGGCUCCAGGUCCGCAGAUAAAGGGAGUUUAUUGGGAGAAAAUUAGAGAAACCUAAUGCGAGCCGUUAUGUGACUAAAGCUCAGAUGAUUGCCCCAGGGCUCAUUAUUCAGCCACUUGUCUCCUGGGUUCUGCCAAGAUGAGUCCCUUUAAUUCCACAUAUUGUUUUUACCUGGAGUCUGUAGAAAACGUAUGUAAGGAAGUUUUACUUUCUGAGCGGGUGGUAGAUAAGUGGAGCAGCCUCCCAGCAGAGGUGGUAGAGGGUAAUACAGUGAGGGGAUUAAACAUGCAUGGGAUAGACAUACGGCUCCUGAAUCUAAGACGAGACCAACGACCGAUUAAGGUUUGAGUCUUUACAGCAGGGGAAACGGGCCGAAUGGGGCCGAUCUGCUGGUAAAUUCUGUUUCUAUAUAACUCUGAUUGCGCAAUCCUGCCAUGUUAGCUCCCCAUAGACCUAACACUGAGCUCAGCAGGGCCGGAGUUGGACUCGAGGAGUUAUUGCAGAAUUUCUAUAUUUAAUGUAGGAAUGUAAGUGAAUUUUUUUACAAUUUGGAUUUCAUGAAACGAUUAUUAUAUAAACUGCACAAUAAAGGGUUUUUUCCCCUUUAGCAUGGGUUUCAAAAUGUUUGUUUCUUUCUGAUCUGUAAAACCUGCAUUAUAUGGUUUGAUUUGUGACAAUUAUAUGAAGUAUCACUUUUUGUGGAAAAUAAACAUUCGCUGAAACCA